GUGAGUGUAGCUCAACGGCAGAGCUCUGGUUUGUGGUACCAGUGGUUGCGGGUUCAAAUCCCGUCGCUCACCCCA
rnacentral:tRNA from 1 species